UUUGGACCCAAUUUCUUGAGCCAGUGGCUUUGAGAUACCAAUCAAAUGUCUACUUAAAACCACAGUUCACAAAACGAGGGCAGCUGGGACUUCUGUGCCUUUAUGGAUCUUCCUUGACUUUGACGUGUGGACACCAUCGAAGAGAGAAACUUCCUGGUCUCCAUGGAUGCCCGGUUCCCAGGACGAUUAGUGCCCUUCUCACAACAUCCCCAGGAGCCCCAGAAAGGCAGACAACUCAGCUUUCAAAUGAUCUGUACUAUGUGGAUUAACUGCAGAUGGACAGUUAUGAAGACCCAGGGUUGCAGUGACCUAACACCAAGAAAUGAAAACUCUAGAAAACUAGCCCUUCACGUAUACAAGACAUGAACACCCUGAGGGCAGGCGCCACAGGGCAAAGGUUUCACUGAGUCCUUUAAUCUGACCUGGGGUUAGAAAUCAGCAGUCACGAAGGUAGCCAACUUUCGAGGGAACUUGGCAACAGUGGAGGAGGGCCAGUGAGGCUCCAGACCAAACCUUGGGAGCUCCGGUAUGAAGUCAGCAUGCUGGUAAGAGGACAACUCUGGAAUGUCAAAGUCCGGCCUGAGCAAAAUGCCUACGGGGUGUCCUGGUCUGCAGAGGGCAGAAAGAAAGCUCUGCUGAGCCGAAAAGGAGCCUAGAUGAAAAAGCUUGCGUUGGUCCAUCCCACCAGCCACACAAAGGCCCUGAUGCCAGAUGGCUGACGGACAGAGAACCACCUCCAAAAGUUGACAGAUCUCCCACUUUGGGGACUGGUUCCAAUAAGGAUGCUUCUCACUAUGAUGGCUGAAGGCAUCAACCAGCUUAAAGCAGCAUUAGGUUUUUUGCUUCCUUAUCCUGAAAAGACAAAUCUCUACCUUCUGAGUACCAGGACAUUUUCAUAAUUGUACUCUCCGCUUCAAAAAGCCUAGCUGUGAAAGAAUCUUUCAAAGGAAGUUGAUAUAAAACUUAGUCGGGACCCAAAGACAUCUAAUCUGCAAGUUAAAUGGAUAUUCCAUGCAUUCAUAACCAUUCAAAGCAUCCUAGUGUCUAGAAAAACCUAACUGACCCCAUCCUAUCAUGAUGUUAUUAUUAACCCGGGCCUCAGGGGGGCGCCCUAGAGCAGGGGAACUUAAAGUCAUGCUCAGCCUUAAAAGUGAAUUUCUUAAACGGUUUUCUAUUAGUUAAAUCAGUAAUUAGUCUAAAUACAUCAUUUCAGUAAUCUGCCAUGAGUCAGUUGAAUGCAAAAUGGGGGGAAAAACUGUGGGCUAACUAGGGUGAUCCCCAAGGAUACAAUGUUUUAAUCUUAGAUAUAAGAUAACUUUAUAUUUCAUUUGCCUUGGACAUUCUUAAAUGUGUUAAAUAGAUGUGUAUUCCUCAACCUGGCAUAACUACAUAUCCUCUAGAUUUACUGAGCGUACAGAAGGCAGACAGGGCAACUUUGUGGAAAAAAAAAGAAGAAGAAAGAAGAAAACUAAAGAAUAGAACUCUACAACAAAAAUGUAGUUUCUAAAAUGGAUGCCAAAGUAGAAAAGAUAUUGAGAGAAAAAUAUAUGUGUAUUUCAGCAAAACUACAAACACACCAAAACAGGUACCAGCAGCAUGAAAACGCCAGGGGAACAAACCAAAAAAAUCACUCUAAUUUAUAGUAACUGAACCCUUGGCUUUACCUUCCUCCCAACACCUGAUAAUUCUGUGAAAUCACCCAGCUGUCACUCUUUUCCUUUUAGAAACAUGACACUGAUUUGUCUUUAUUAGAAUUCAGAGGUCUGCUUGAUGGGGCCCCUAAUAAAUGUAAGUCAUCAUCACUUCUUGACCUUUUUUCCCGGGAAAUUCUCGGUACGCGGUUAAACUGCUGAAAACAUAUUUGCAAGGUUCUGUGACUGUAACAUAAAAAUAAAGGAUCAAGGCUGGGUGGCUUUGGAGGUCUGAGCACAUCUGGGCUCCGCCCUGCCUGCACCCCAGAGGGAAAAUAACGCAGAUCGAUUAGAAACAGCAUCUGGGGGUAAUAGCAACGCUCUGCUUUGGGCUGAGCUGUCUGCAAAUAGGAAUGCUCUGCACAAGACUGAAGUACAGGAGGGGGUGUGCCAAGGAGCCCUUGCCCCUUCCUCUGCCCCUCCUAGCGUCCCCUUCCUCCCCCACCUGCCUGGCUACUGAGUGCCUUGAAAGAGCAGGAAAAAACCCUGUAGCCCAGAGAGCCUCAAUUAGCUAUCCACAUGAGAAAGAAAGAAAAAGAUUGAUGACGGAGUCCUAGUUAUGGUGACUUUGAGAUAAAAGGAUGGGGGGCGGCUUUUCCAAGAAACUGAAUCAUGACGCUUUUUUUUUUCUUUUUCUAUAAAAGCAACACUUGUCGUCCUUAUUUGUUCACUGGCUGCACUGGGCUGGUGGUACCCUAAAACAAAAUGAGGGCAGGUGGUCUCAGCCUUCACCACAUCCUAAGAUGGCCUCAGGCACCAGACAAAUCUAGACCCUGACCGUGAUGUUGCCAAGAGCCUAGUCAUAAAGACUCCCCUCUGCACGCCUGCCUGUAAAGACUGGUGUCCCUACCUCCCCUCUACUGCACACUUCAGAUGGCCACUGCAGAGAAAGCGAGAGGGUCUAUGACAUCUUAUUCGUGUCCCCUCUACUUCCUCAUUCCUCAGAGAGCAGAGGAACGGCUUCUAGGUCUGGCUUCUAGGUCUGUUCCCUCCAAUUCCUAAAAAUAAGUUUCCCUACAGCACUGGGUUGGGGGGAUGUCAGGGUAGGUGGUCAGAUAAGCUGUUUCUCAAAUAUUUGACAAACCGGCUGUCUGUGGACA
ensembl:lncRNA